rnacentral:rRNA from 1 species
UGGGGAAUUUUGGACAAUGGGCGAAAGCCUGAUCCAGCAAUGCCGCGUGUGUGAAGAAGGCCUUCGGGUUGUAAAGCACUUUUGUCCGGAAAGAAAUCCUUGGCUCUAAUACAGUCGGGGGAUGACGGUACCGGAAGAAUAAGCACCGGCUAACUACGUGCCAGCAGCCGCGGUAAUACGUAGGGUGCAAGCGUUAAUCGGAAUUACUGGGCGUAAAGCGUGCGCAGGCGGUUUGCUAAGACCGAUGUGAAAUCCCCGGGCUCAACCUGGGAACUGCAUUGGUGACUGGCAGGCUAGAGUAUGGCAGAGGGGGGUAGAAUUCCACGUGUAGCAGUGAAAUGCGUAGAGAUGUGGAGGAAUACCGAUGGCGAAGGCAGCCCCCUGGGCCAAUACUGACGCUCAUGCACGAAAGCGUGGGGAGCAAACAGGAUUAGAUACCCUGGUAGUCCACGCCCUAAACGAUGUCAACUAGUUGUUGGGGAUUCAUUUCUUAGUAACGUAGCUAACGCGUGAAGUUGACCGCCU